rnacentral:rRNA from 1 species
GGAGGGUGCAAGCGUUAUCCGGAUUUACUGGGUUUAAAGGGUGUGUAGGCGGACAUUUACGUCUGGGGUGAAAUCUCCGAGCUCAACUCGGAAACUGCCUUGGAUACUAUUUGUCUUGAAUUAUGUUGAGGUAGGCGGAAUAUAACAUGUAGCGGUGAAAUGCAUAGAUAUGUUAUAGAACACCGAUUGCGAAGGCAGGUCACUAUGUCUUAACUGACGCUGAUGGACGAAAGCGUGGGGAGCGAACAGGAUUAGAUACCCUGGUAGUCCACACCGUAAACGUUGGGCGCUAGGUGUGGGAUCCAUUCCACGGGUUCCGUGCCGCAGCUAACGCAUUAAGCGCCCCGCCUGGGGAGUACGGCCGCAAGGCUAAAACUCAAAGGAAUUGACGGGGGC